rnacentral:rRNA from 1 species
GACGAACGCUGGCGGCGUGCUUAACACAUGCAAGUCGAACGGAAAGGCCCUGCUUUUGUGGGGUGCUCGAGUGGCGAACGGGUGAGUAACACGUGAGUAACCUGCCCUUGACUUUGGGAUAACUUCAGGAAACUGGGGCUAAUACCGGAUAGGAGCUCCUGCUGCAUGGUGGGGGUUGGAAAGUUUCGGCGGUUGGGGAUGGACUCGCGGCUUAUCAACUUGUUGGUGGGGUAGUGGCUUACCAAGGCUUUGACGGGUAGCCGGCCUGAGAGGGUGACCGGCCACAUUGGGACUGAGGUACGGCCCAGCCUCCUACGGGAGGCAGCAGUGGGGAAUAUUGCACAAUGGGCGGAAGCCUGAUGCAGCAACGCCGCGUGCGGGAUGACGGCCUUCGGGUUGUAAACCGCUUUCGCCUGUGACGAAGCGUGAGUGACGGUAAUGGGUAAAGAAGCACCGGCUAACUACGUG